UUCUGGCUCAGGAUGAACGCUGGCGGCGUGCCUAACACAUGCAAGUCGAACGAAGCACAGUUCCUUCGGGGGUGUGACUGAGUGGCGGACGGGUGAGUAACGCGUGGGUAACCUGCCCUGUACAGGGGGAUAACAGCCAGAAAUGGCUGCUAAUACCGCAUAAGCGCACGAAGGGACAUCCCUUCGUGUGAAAAAACUCCGGUGGUACAGGAUGGGCCCGCGUCUGAUUAGCUGGUUGGCGGGGUAAUGGCCCACCAAGGCGACGAUCAGUAGCCGGUCUGAGAGGAUGAACGGCCACAUUGGAACUGAGACACGGUCCAAACUCCUACGGGAGGCAGCAGUGAGGGAUAUUGCACAAUGGGGGGAACCCUGAUGCAAGCAACGCCGCGUGAGUGAAGAAGUAAUUCGUUAUGUAAAGCUCUAUCAGCAGGGAAGAUAAUGACGGUACCUGACUAAGAAGCUCCGGCUAAAUACGUGCCAGCAGCCGC
rnacentral:rRNA from 1 species